CCUACGGGAGGCAGCAGUGGGGAAUCUUGCACAAUGGGGGAAACCCUGAUGCAGCGACGCCGCGUGAGUGAUGAAGUCUUUCGGUAUGUAAAGCUCUAUCAGCAGGGAAGAAAAUGACGGUAACUGAUUAAGAAGCCUCGGCUAACUACGUGCCAGCAGCCGCGGUAAUACGUAGGAGGCAAGCGUUAUCCGGAGUUACUGGGUGUAAAGAGUGCUUAGACGGUGAUGCAAGUCAGAAGGGAAAGCCCGGGGCUAAACUCAGAGACUGCUUGGGAAACUGUGUGGCUGGAGUGCAGGAGAGGUAAGCGGAAUUCCUGGUGUAGGAGUGAAAUGCGUAGAUAUCAGAAGGAACACCAGUGGCGAAGGCGGCUUACUGGACUGUAGCUGACAUUGAGGCUCGAAAGCGUAGGGAGCAAACAGGAUUAGAUACCCGGGUAGUC
rnacentral:rRNA from 1 species